rnacentral:rRNA from 1 species
UGGGGAAUAUUGCACAAUGGGCGCAAGCCUGAUGCAGCGACGCCGCGUGGGGGAUGACGGCCUUCGGGUUGUAGACUCCUUUCGCUAGGGACGAAGCUUUUUGUGACGGUACCUAGAUAAGAAGCACCGGCUAACUACGUGCCAGCAGCCGCGGUAAUACGUAGGGUGCGAGCGUUGUCCGGAAUUACUGGGCGUAAAGGGCUCGUAGGUGGUUUGUCGCGUCGUCUGUGAAAUUCCGGGGCUUAACUCCGGGCGUGCAGGCGAUACGGGCAUAACUUGAGUACUGUAGGGGUAACUGGAAUUCCUGGUGUAGCGGUGAAAUGCGCAGAUAUCAGGAGGAACACCGAUGGCGAAGGCAGGUUACUGGGCAGUUACUGACGCUGAGGAGCGAAAGCAUGGGUAGCGAACAGG